rnacentral:rRNA from 1 species
GACGAACGCUGGCGGCGUGCUUAACACAUGCAAGUCGAACGGAAAGGCCCUGCUUUUGUGGGGUGCUCGAGUGGCGAACGGGUGAGUAACACGUGAGUAACCUGCCCUUGACUUUGGGAUAACUUCAGGAAACUGGGGCUAAUACCGGAUAGGAGCUCCUGCUGCAUGGUGGGGGUUGGAAAGUUUCGGCGGUUGGGGAUGGACUCGCGGCUUAUCAGCUUGUUGGUGGGGUAGUGGCUUACCAAGGCUUUGACGGGUAGCCGGCCUGAGAGGGUGACCGGCCACAAUGGGACUGAGAUACGGCCCGGAAUCCUACGGGAGGCAGCAGUGGGGAAUAUUGCACAAUGGGCGGAAGCCUGAUGCAGCAACGCCGCGUGCGGGAUGACGGCCUUCGGGUUGUAAACCGCUUUCGCCUGUGACGAAGCGUGAGUGACGGUAAUGGGUAAAGAAGCACCGGCUAACUACGUG